GCGGCCAUAUUGAAAAUCAGUCAAGUAUUUCGAAUGUGGUGGGCGGAGUCAGUGUCGCCAGCAAGUGCGCAUGCGGGUGCGAGUGCGACCCUAGACGCGGGGCAGCGGGUGUGCAGUCUCAAUAUCGCCUUGAUGGAUCGUCGAUCGAUUGAUGGAUUGUGUGAAGCGGGCUCGGUGUUUGAGUUCGUCUUUGGACGAGGGCUUGAACUUGGUAUCGUCGAAAUGAACAACCUGCACUUGUCUCUGGUGUCUAGGCGCUCUCAUCAUCGUCAUGACGAGUACCUCGGAUGGAUUUCUGACAUCUUGCUUUGUUUCUCGUUGUAGUGGCGUUCAUGUUUCUGCCUAUUUCAAUUUCUGUUUGUGUCCAACUGUUGUGCAUUCCCAGUUCACGCGUCUCUGCCACGGAUUGGCCAAUGGCAAACAGCGACGGAUCUUU